rnacentral:rRNA from 1 species
AUCCUGGCUCAGAUUGAACGCUGGCGGCAGGCCUAACACAUGCAAGUCGAGCGGAUGAGUGGAGCUUGCUCCAUGAUUCAGCGGCGGACGGGUGAGUAAUGCCUAGGAAUCUGCCUGGUAGUGGGGGACAACGUUUCGAAAGGAACGCUAAUACCGCAUACGUCCUACGGGAGAAAGUGGGGGAUCUUCGGACCUCACGCUAUCAGAUGAGCCUAGGUCGGAUUAGCUAGUUGGUGAGGUAAAGGCUCACCAAGGCGACGAUCCGUAACUGGUCUGAGAGGAUGAUCAGUCACACUGGAACUGAGACACGGUCCAGACUCCUACGGGAGGCAGCAGUGGGGAAUAUUGGACAAUGGGCGAAAGCCUGAUCCAGCCAUGCCGCGUGUGUGAAGAAGGUCUUCGGAUUGUAAAGCACUUUAAGUUGGGAGGAAGGGCAGUAAGUUAAUACCUUGCUGUUUUGACGUUACCGACAGAAUAAGCACCGGCUAAC